UCGCUGUGAUGACUUCUUAGGACACCUUUGGAUUCUCCAUGAAAAUAAACUGAGAUUUCUGAGCGAC
rnacentral:snoRNA from 1 species